rnacentral:lncRNA from 1 species
AUCGGAAGGAGCUCUGCUCAAGAUGGAUUGGACCUGGGCGAUUAACCACAGUCCCCGAUUCACAGAUCGGGAAGGCGAUCUAGAAAAGAGACGAAGCUGUGAUCAGAGAUCGUAAAUCCGUCCGAUGGUAUUCUCCAGGGCGUAAGGAUGUUGCGAUGGAACGGAGAUGUUGCGACGAAGAUGCGGAGCGACGGAAUGGGGUGAGUUGAGUCGGAGUCGGGAGGGGAUUCGACGAUGACCGGAGCGAUCGGCGACGCGACGGUUAUGGAAGUGAAUCGGAUGAUUAAGGGAAAUUUUGUAAUUUUUAUUUGAUAAAAAACCAAAAUACAUAUUGUGCCCCUUUAUAGGGGAAUUACAUAGGGUGCUGAAUGUAAAAUAUCCAAUUUAAAAACAAGUUUCGACUCUAGCUGAAUUAAACUAAUAAUAGGGUUCUUCCUGCAAAAUCACCCUUAACUAACUUACCUACUCAGAUCAAAGUUGGCAGUCCACGCUGGCGCCCGCGUGGCUCGCCUCUCCCGGAGCCGUCCGUGACCUAAUUCCCCCUUUUGCUUCUCGGCGUCUCCCUGCUCCAACGUCGCUGCUUCCUCAUCCGUUGGUUCUUCAAUUACUUCUUCAUUCAGGUCCAGGGUCUCCGCUAAAUCUCUGACCGCCUCCUUCGAGUUCACCGGCGCCGUAACAUGAUAUCCCUCUCGAAGAAUCACCUUGUCCUCAAGGUGUAAAGAUGGAAAAAGCUCGCGCAGCGCCUCGACGUCUUCCCACGAUGAAUCUUCGACCGGUUCCCCGCACCACUGGACCAGUGCCUGUGCCAUCUGCUUUUCCUUGCGGUAAAUAACCCUGUAAUCGACAAUGGCUAAUGGAAUUAAUACUGUCUCACUUUUUACUGCGAUUAUAGGUGUCAACUCCUUCUCUUCAGGUGGGCUACCCACAAAUUUCUUCAGUAGUGAUAUGUGGAAUGAGUCAUGGAUCCUGCUUCCUAUAGGCAGAGAUACUCUGUAAGCGACUCUGCUAAUUUUUUCCUUAAUUUUGUACGGGCCAUAGUAUCUCUUGUUUAGCUUGUUAUGGAGUCGAAUUGCUACUGAAUUUUGCCUGUAUCUUUUGAGUUUAACCAAAACCCAAUCACCCACAUUGAACUGUAUUUCUUUCCUGUUUUUAUCGGCAUUUGAUUUCAUUCUCUUUUGUGCCUUGAUCAAGUUAUUUUUUGCCAUUUCCAAUGCCAAUUCUCUAUCAUUCAAUUCUCUAUCCACUACAUCUAUGGACGAAUUUCCUUCAAUAUAACCUGGUAAUAUAGGAGCCUCCUUCCCAUAUAGUAUUUGAAAUGGUGUUUGACCCACAGAAACAUUAUAGUUAGUAUUAAACCAAAACUCUGCCCAAGGGAGUAAGGAUAGCCAUUUCCUGGGAUCUUCAUGUGCUAAUGAUCUCAGAUACAUUUCGAUGCUUCUGUUGGCCACCUCAGUUUGGCCGUCACUCUGAGGGUGGUAGGCAGUAGAGAAAUUUAAAGUUGUCCCACUGAGUUUAUUCAAUUCUUUCCAAAAUUUGGAGAGAAAUACUCUGUCUCGAUUAGAAACUAUGGAAUUAGGAUAACCAUGCAGUCUAACUACUUCCUUUACAAAAAACUCUGCCACCAUAGAGGCUGUAUAGUUUGUUGGAAGUGCUCCCAAAUGACAUGAUUUGGACAGUCUGUCCACUACUACAACUAUGACUGUUUUGCCUUGAACUUUUGGAAGAUUAGUAAUAAAAUCCACAGAUAAGUCAUGCCACACUGAAGGGGGAAUGGGAAGUGGCAUUAACAGCCCAUAUGCCUUCUGAUUAAGGGGCUUCAUUUGUUGGCAAACUAAACAUUUUUGAACAUAAUUUCUGAUGUCAUUAGACAUACCUUGCCACCAAAACUGAAUUGAAAUUCUUCUGAUUGUUCUUUCUAUUCCUUAGUGUCCUCCCAAAGGUGAAUCAUGGAAUUCCUUUAAGAGCCUUUGAAUUAUCUUGGAGUUUUUCUUUAGGUAGUACUUCCCCUUGUAAAACACCAAACCCUGUUCCACAGUAAAAUUAUGAGUUUUUUUGGAAUUUGAGAUGAUGUCAUUGAUCAGAUUUUGUCUCCGGGGACUGUUCAUUUUCCCUUUUCAUCUCAUCAACUAAUGAGCACAUAGAAGCUGAUAGGGCUAAUAGGGACCCCUUCUGAUUAUCAGCUUUAUUAUUGAAUAUAAUCUCCACUUCUUCAUGGCACCUAGAUAGGGCAUCUGCCACCUUGUUAUCCUUCCCGGGUUUAUAGAGGAUAGUAAAGUCAUAACCCAGCAAUUUACACAGAAAGACUUGUUGCUCUGGAGUUUGAAUUACCUGUGUUAGCAAGUUUUUCAAACUUCUGUGAUCAGUUUUGAUCACAAAAUGGCUCCCAAGUAAAUAAUGCCUCCAUUUACCCACUGCUUGGGUAAUUGCAAACAUCUCCUUAAUGUAUAUGGAAGCAGAAGCCAACCUUCCUCCUAUCUUUUUACUGUAGAAAGCAAUGGGAUGCUCCUCCUGUUGCAGAACAGCUCCAAUACCUGUGUUGCAUGCAUCAGUUUCUACAACAAACAAUUUAUUAAAAUCAGGAAAUUUGAGCACUGAAGCCUCAGUCAUGGCCUCUUUUAAUCUGUUAAAACUUAGAGUAGCCAAUUCAGACCAGGAAAAGGAGUCCUUUUUUAAUAGAUCAGUCAUGGCAGCAGCUAUUUGAGCAUAUCCCUUGAUAAACUUCCUGUAAUAACCUGUAAGGCCCAAAAACCCUCUUAGUUGUUUCAGAUUUUUUGGAAUAGGCCAUUCCAGCAUGGCUGAAAUCUUUGUGGGGUCAGGGUUUACACCUUCUUUACUAAUAAUAUGCCCCAAAAAUCCCAUUGUUUCUUGACCAAAGCAACACUUAGAUUUUUUUGCCAGUAACUGGUUUUCUUUCAUCAACUCAAAAAUGAGCUCCAAAUGCUUAACAUGAUCAGCCACUGAGGUGCUGUAGAUUAGAAUAUCGUCAAAAAAUAUAAUGAUGAACUUCCUCAGAUAUUUCUGAAAAACCCUGUUCAUGGCUGCCUGAAAUGUAGCUGGGGCAUUGGUCAGCCCAAAAGGCAUCACCAAGAAUUCAUAAUGACCCUGGUGUGUUCUGAAAGCUGUUUUCUCAGUAUCUUUUGGGUUUAUCCUUAUUUGAUGGAAUCCCGAUCUCAAAUCUAGCUUUGAGAAAAUUACAGCUCCUUUCAGCUCACCCAAUAAUUCAUCAACUGUAGGUAUUGGAAACUUAUCCUUGAUAGUAAUGGCAUUCAGGGCUCUGUAAUCAACGCAGAGUCUGUAACCUCCAUCCUUCUUCUUGACUAGCAAUACUGGAGAUGAGUAUGGGCUGGUGCUUGGCCUAACAGUGCCCUGAUUCAAUAACUCCCUCACUAACCUCUCAAUUUCCCCUUUCUGAAAUUGGGGAAAUCUGUAUGGCCUUACAUUUACGGGGCUUGAAUUGGGAUAUAAAUGUAUAAAAUGAUCAACUUCCCUUUGGGGUGGCAGUCCUUUAGGUUCUUCAAAAAUUUCAGGAAAAACUUCCACCACUUGAUUUACUACUGCUGAUUCAGAUAAUGAUAGAUUAUUCAAGCUUGGUUGUUCUUCUACAUACUCAAAGUAGCAUAGGUAUGCUUCAUAAGUAGAUGCCUGCAAGGAUUUCAUCUGCCCAUUUGUUAGUGGGUCACUAUUCAGCCAAGAUAUACCUUUCCAAAUUACCUUUUUCCCUUCCCAUUCAAACUUCAUGCAUAACUCCUUGUAAUUGGAAACUACAUCACCCAAUUUCUUGAGCCAUUGGGUACCGAUGACAAUAUUAGAACCUGCCAUAGGUAAUAAGAAUAAAUCAAUAGUGAUUAUUACCCCUUGAAUUUUGAUCUGAAUCUGUUUACACACUUUGUCACACAAUAGCUUCUCCCCACUGCCAGUAGAAACUCUGAAUGGGUUGAUUGCAUGUACUAUCAUCUGCAGUCUUGAAGCUACUUCAACUUGCAUGAAGUUGUGAGUUGACCCUGGGUCCACUAAUACACUUACAGCUUGGUUUUUUAUGAAUCCAUCCAGCCUGAUGGUUCUGACCCCCAGUUUGCCCUGGUAUGCCUGUAAGCUGAUUUCAGUAUCUACCUCUCCUUCUAUUAUACUGUGUUCCUCUUCCUUUCUGCCUUCCAUCUCAGUAUCCUCUCCUUCUAACUCCCAUAGAGUGUUGUCAUCUGCUGAUAAUCUGAACAGUCUUCCCUUACAUUUGUGGCCUGGAGCAAACCUCUCAUCACAAUUGAAACAGAGACCCUUGAUAGUUCUCUCCCUUCUCUCAGCAGGAGAUAGUCUCUUAAAAAUAGGAGCAUUGGUGGUUUUAUUCAUUGCAGAAGGCUGAUUAUUCAUUGCAAAAUUGUUGCCAAAACUGUUGUUUCCAGAAGUUUUUCCAAUGAAGGAUCUUCCUGGACUUGGUCUAUACCCACCAGACUUGUAGCUAACAGUAGAUGAGCCUUGGUUUUCUAGAUGCACUGCCAAUUCCAUAGCCUCCUGAAUAUCUGUAAGCUUAGCUUUAACUACCUCUGUUAGAUACUCAUCCUUCAAACCCGAGAUAAACAUUUCCAACAGGAGCCAAUCAGGUACUCCCACCACUUUUGAAGAAUAGUCUUCAAACCUUGUCACGAACUCAGCUACUGUAGUGAUCUGCGAUAUCUUACUUAAUCCGCCUCCAGGGAUUGUGUAGGUGGUCGGAUUGAAUUUUUUUAGUAGUGACUUGACAAAAGCAGGCCAAGUGGUUAAGUAAUUGCUGGAUUCCAUCCACAGGAACCACUUCAGAGCCACAUCAACCAUGUUGAAUGAUGAGAUAAUCAACUUCUGGUCCUCCGGGGUGUUAUGAAAAAUGAAAAACCUCCGAGCCAUGAAGAUCCAGGCCUCAGGGUCUUUCCCAUUAAAUUUAGGCAUAUCGAACUUAAUGUGUUUAGAUGGGGUAUAGUCUGCAUUACCAUACAUGCUCACAGCAUAUGCGGGACGCUCUGGAUCAAUAGGAGUAAUAACUUCCUCUUGGUAACUGUUGAUGUUUACUUGUUCAUAUGAUGAUUCCCCUGUCUGAUUGUUUUGCAGAUCUGAUUUCUUGUUGGUGAUAAUCGAAGCUAAAUCAGAGAUUUGCUUCCCUAGUUCCAGCACAUUGUGGUUCAAGGACUUCCUCAGCUCAGACAGUUCGUUGGUCUGGGACAACUGAAAUGUCUGAAGCCUCCUGACAGUCGCUUCCAUGCCCUCCGGCAAGCUUUGUGGAGCGGAUGCCAUUUCCCUGAAAAUGAGUAAACAAAAUUUGAAAGCACCAGUUGAUACAGGUAUCAAGCCGGUAUCAAGAAUCGGAAGGAGCUCUGCUCAAGAUGGAUUGGACCUGGGCGAUUAACCACAGUCCCCGAUUCACAGAUCGGGAAGGCGAUCUAGAAAAGAGACGAAGCUGUGAUCAGAGAUCGUAAAUCCGUCCGAUGGUAUUCUCCAGGGCGUAAGGAUGUUGCGAUGGAUCGGAGAUGUUGCGACGAAGAUGCGGAGCGACGGAAUGGGGUGAGUUGAGUCGGAGUCGGGAGGGGAUUCGACGAUGACCGGAGCGAUCGGCGACGCGACGGUUAUGGAAGGGAAUCGGAUGAUUAAGGGAAAUUUGUAAUUUUUAUUUGAUAAAAAACCAAAAUACAUAUUGUGCCCCUUUAUAGGGGAAUUACAUAGGGUGCUGAAUGUAAAAUAUCCAAUUUAAAAACAAGUUUCAACUCUAGCUGAAUUAAACUAAUAAUAGGGUUCUUCCUGCAAAAUCACCCUUAACUAACUUACCUACUCAGAUCAAAGUUGGCAGUCCACGCUGGCGCCCGCGUGGCUCGCCUUUCCCGGAGCCGUCCGUGACCUAAUUCCCCCUUUUGCUUCUCGGCGUCUCCCUGCUCCAACGUCGCUGCUUCCUCAUCCGUUGGUUCUUCAAUUACUUCUUCAUUCAGGUCCAGGGUCUCCGCUAAAUCUCUGACCGCCUCCUUCGAGUUCACCGGCGCCGUAACA